rnacentral:rRNA from 1 species
AGAAUCAACGCUGGCGGCGUGCCUAACACAUGCAAGUCGCACGAGAAAGGGACUUCGGUCCUGAGUACAGUGGCGCACGGGUGAGUAACACGUGAAUAAUCUACCUCCGAGUGGGGAAUAACUGAGAGAAAUCUUAGCUAAUACCGCAUAACACUUACGAGUCAAAGCAGCAAUGCGCUUGGAGAGGAGUUCGCGGCAGAUUAGUUAGUUGGCGGGGUAAUGGCCCACCAAGACGAUGAUCUGUAUCCGGCCUGAGAGGGCGCACGGACACACUGGAACUGAAACACGGUCCAGACUCCUACGGGAGGCAGCAGUGGGGAAUUUUGCGCAAUGGGGGAAACCCUGACGCAGCAACGCCGCGUGGAGGAUGAAAUCCCUUGGGAUGUAAACUCCUUUCGAUAGGGAAGAUAAUGACGGUACCUAUAGAAGAAGCCCGGCUAACUUCGCGCCAGCAGCCGC